UACAGAGGGUGCGAGCGUUGUUCGGAAUUAUUGGGCGUAAAGGGCGCGUAGGCGGUGCGGUAAGUCACCUGUGAAAUCUCCUGGCUCAACUGGGAGCUUGCAGGCGAAACUGCCGUGCUGGAGUGUGGGAGAGGUGCGUGGAAUUCCUGGUGUAGCGGUGAAAUGCGUAGAUAUCAGGAGGAACACCUGUGGCGAAAGCGGCGCACUGGACCACAACUGACGCUGAGGCGCGAAAGCCUGGGGAGCGAACGGG
rnacentral:rRNA from 1 species